GGAUGGCAGCAGUACUGAGCUCACAGUGGGAUGGCAGCAGUACUGAGCUCACAGUGGGGAUGGCAGCAGUACUGAGCUCACAGCAGGAUGGCAGCAGUACUGAGCUCACAGCGGGGAUGGCAGCAGUACUGAGCUCACAGCGGGAUGGCAGCAGUACUGAGCUCACAGCGGGAUGGCAGGAGUACUGAGCAUACAGCACCUCUCUGAGAGUCACCGAGCACUGUCCGGUAUACAUUGCCUACUGGUUCAAUUCCUGUAUAUAUACAAAAAAAAAAGGUCAAAACCGCAGAGGUUCUGAUGGCCACACAGCCAUGGAUGCCACAGACCAGCUGCUUCGAGGAUUAGAUCUGAAGAGAAACCACGGCCCGAGGACCCGAUGGGUGGCACUUUUCGGUGUUACGUUCCGUGACUGUUGUGCCUCCCAAGGCUACUGUGACCUUGUGCGGGCACCGUGACACCACCGGGGGACGCCACUCACAGUGUGGACGUCGCGGGCUUGUGUGAUGAUUAGAGCACUUUCGGCAGCGAGAGUCCAGCAAAACCAGCUCUGUAUUAUGACAGUCGCAAACAGGAGCAAAGCAUCCUGAGGAAGGGGGAGCUUUUUCAAAGCUUCCCAUGAGUUACCUGAGCUAGCAGCACCCCUGGCGUCAUUCCUCACAGCCUGUCUCAUUCAGAACCCCAUUUCAGCCAGGAAAGCUGUGCCAUCCCACCAUUCGACAUCGGGAUGGCACAAGAAUGCCAUCGGAAAAACAGUGUGGCUCCAUCCAGUGGCCCGGGCCGUGUGCUGUUGCCUUUAACCUGAGGCGCUAAGACUCCAACUAGACAGGAAGAGUACGUCUCUCCUUCAGGUACGUUCACAGA
ensembl:lncRNA